GACCAAAAGUCUGGACUCUGUAUGGCCAAC
rnacentral:sRNA from 1 species